rnacentral:lncRNA from 1 species
ACUGUAAUGACCUUCCCGAUCAGAUUGCAAGGCCUUGCAGGUGAGCCGCGUCGAUGUGAGACACGUCCUCUUUUUCUUUUCUUUUCUGUUUGCUCUGGAAGGCACUCUCAGCUUGCAUUCCGCUCAAUAUGAUUCUGCUACUUUGGUCUACCCUUUUUUCAAUCUUACAUUUUUGUGUUAGGGAUUGUGUAUUUGUUUGGUUUGAAUCCAUGGGGAUGGAAUUGUCAUGAGCACCCUAUUCGGUUUUUCAUUUUUCACAUUGCUUUCACCAAGCGGAGUCAUAUUUUUCUGACUUUUUUGGUAUGUGAUGUUGAUAAGGUGGGAAUCCAUCCCUGAUGCUAGGGAACCUGCUUCGCUUCGCUUAGAGUAACUGGGAAGGACGAUCGAUUUUAGCCUUGAUUAAUCAGCAACUCUGGAUGGCCUGACGUGAAUAUGCUGAGUCCCGAAGAUCUCAUACUUUCCUUUUGCAGUGUGUCCUGGUGAAAGUUCGAUUACGAUCUGCGGUGUAUUAUGCUUCUUUUGGAAUAAAUGUCUCUUGAAGAUUGCUAAAAUCACCUGAAAAAAAGAGAGUAUAAUAAUGGCAGUUUCAGAACAUGAAACUGAUGAACAGGAGUUUACAUUAAUCAUAUAUGGGGCAAGGCUUGUUUCAAGACGUCCGUACAAAUAA